rnacentral:lncRNA from 1 species
ACAGUACACAAUGGCCCCAGAGGAAGGCCCGCUCGCAGCACGUCAGAAAGGAAUUGGACUCGGAGAGAAAUGAGGGGCCUGGACUCUCCCGGGAACGAAAGUGGAAACGGGAAAGGAAAUGGACGAAGGGAUGCAAGGCACGAAGGAGCUAACCAAUAAGGGGUGGCAGUUACCUGUGGACAACCAGGGUUUGAAAAUAGAACACAGGAUCAAGCUUGCAACCAUGAAUAUGAAAGACUAUAUGUUUAAGAUGGUGGGAGCAGAAAAACAGGAGCCUGGGGAAUUGACAACAUCAUGAAUAUGCUGCACCAUUCUGGACCACUGCAGUCAGAUAACUCCUUAUAUGAGAAAAAUGGGUAACCUACUGGAUUAAGCACCUAUAGGUCGUGUUCUCUGUUGAAUGUAACCAAAAACAAACCUAAUUAAUUCAAAACUCUGUAGAAUUACAAGUAUUAGGAACCUUGAUAUUUGAUUAUUUGGUUAAGACCAAUAAAAGAAUGAAAGAUGAUAAUAUGUACAAAUGGAAAAGAAAAAUAAUAUGUGUGUGUUCUCUUAAACAUCUUCCAGUACAAGUUAUAACUUCAGCAAUUUUGAAAAUUUUUAGUGAUUCUAAAAUAAUGUGUUUUUAAUGACCAAAAGCAGGCUGCUAAUUCAUCAAGUAAAUAGUAAACUUGUUCCUACUUUGCUCAAAUAUGAAGCUGACUGAUAGAAAUCAUCAAAGUCCUUGGGUUAAAAUUGUUCAAAUUAGAAGUAUUGGUGUAUAAAGAAAAUUGACUUUUUACUAGGUUUGGUAAUUAUCCCUUCACAUGAUAGAAACAUAUGAUACAGC